AUUGAUGAUCACGAUUUUGAAACAAAAAUGCGUCAAGGACGUGGAUUUGUUGAGAAAGGCGAUAAGGUAAAGGUAUCUAUUCGUUUCCGUGGUCGUGCGAUUACCCAUAAAGAUAUUGGGCGAGAAGUCCUUGAACGUUUCGCUGAAGGGAUGAACGACGUUGCCCAAGUUGAGUCAAAGACUCAAAUGGAAGGUCGUAAUAUGUUCAUGAUGCUCGCACCGAAAACGGAAAAAUAAAAAUAUUCACACAUUUAACUUUGGAUUGUUCAGGAGGUAAGGAUAUGGCUAAACAAAAAACACAUUCAGGUA
rnacentral:misc_RNA from 1 species